CACAAGACAACAUCACACUCCUUGAGCUUUGUAGAAGUCUUUGACGUGCUCAGAUGAAAGAAACGGUCCUCUGUAAUUAAUGUAAGCCUGUGGACAAUCCCCUAAGGUCUGAUAGGUGUUGAACCAAGCCUGGCGGAUGCAGAGGAAGCAGCAGGAGGUAUUCCAGCCCUGUUUGCAGCUUCAAGAAAAGUUAGAUGAGCCCCGAGUCUGUUGUCACCAUUUCCCCACAAAUGAGGCAGAAAUGAAACCAAACCAGAGCCCCUACUGAGAACCUGGAUAUACAGAAAGGCUAUGAUCAUCUUUGGCCCUGGCAAAGCUACUAAACUGCCUCAGUUUCUCCACUGGAACUGAAGAUGGAUGCAGCUUGGACCAAAGGAUACUAUUCUCUAUAGAAGCAGCAGCAGCAGCCAGUCAGUGCUGCGAACCAUAACUGCAUGAGUUCUUAUGUCACCAUGAUUAUUGGAAAGAAGAGCAUGGUUGCAUUCAACUCUAUCUGUGGUCAUAUGAUCAAAGACCAAGGAAUGACAAAUCCUGCCCUGUCAUCACAUUUGUUUCCUACAGUAAGAUUCCAGGAAGAUAUAUGCAAGGUGCAACAGCAAUAUGAGAAUAAAAAAUCAUUUUAUUAA
rnacentral:lncRNA from 1 species